GCCUCCGUAGCUCAGAUGGCAGAGCGUUGCUCUCGUAAAGCAAAGGUCGUGUGUUCGAUUCACAUCGUAGGCA